GAUGAACGCUGGCGGUAUGCUUAACACAUGCAAGUCGAACGGACUCUUCGGAGUUAGUGGCGGACGGGUGAGUAACGCGUGAGAAUCUGGCUUUGGGUUCGGGACAACCACUGGAAACGGUGGCUAAUACCGGAUGUGCCGAGAGGUAAAAGAGAAAUUGCCUGAAGAUGAGCUCGCGUCUGAUUAGCUAGUUGGUGAGGUAAAGGCUCACCAAGGCAGCGAUCAGUAGCUGGUCUGAGAGGAUGACCAGCCACACUGGGACUGAGACACGGCCCAGACUCCUCCGGGAGGCAGCAGUGAGGAAUGUUCCGCAAAGGGCGAGAGCCUGACGGAGCAAUACCGCGUGAAGGAAGAAGGCUCUUGGGUUGUAAAACUCUUUUCUUAGGGAAGAACAAAAUGACGGUACCUAAGGAAUCAGCAUCGGCUAACUCCGUG
rnacentral:rRNA from 1 species